rnacentral:lncRNA from 1 species
CCAGAGCCACUGCUCCUUCUAGUGGGCUAAGAAGGAAAAUUGAGCAAAUACGUUUGCUCCAUCUGUCCUGUCAUAACGAAAGUGAUAGUUAAAGGAGCAGCUAUUUCAAAGCCCUCGGGAUCAGUCUUUUCUAGAGGGUUCAGCCUUUAGCUUUCUUCUCAGACCUCUGCUCAGGGGACUAAUUUACCCACUGCUCAGUGACUUGUGCGAAAAGCUUGCAGUGUAUCGAAGCGUGCACGAACCUGGGAAGACGUCUGAUGUUAACUACUGGUGAGCUAAAGCAGGCAGCUUGAAGGAGACGAGGGAUGAGACAAACAUCCUAAAAGUUCAUGUUAUGGCUGGUGCAUGGAAAGAACAUCUGUAUACAGGGGAUGUCAACUACAGAAGCCAACCAGGCACCGCAUCGAUCCCAGAAGGACAGAUCUGCUUGGAUGUACAGCACAGGUAUCGCCAAUCCCCAUUUGGGGAAUCACACGUUCAGCAAUUCCAAUGCCAGGUGUUUUCAGAUUUCCGACUGAGUUUGCCUGGUACACUUGCUGAGCCGUCCGCCGAGUCUAUGGGGAACUUUGACACUGGUGAUACAUCCAGCCGUGGCUCCUCACCUGCACAUGAAACUCAGAUGUCUUGGGAGAUGGAGAAUGUUGCCAUGCAAGAGGGUGGAUCACCGGCUUCCAGCAGAAGUGCACACCCAGAAUGCCUAGACUGGGUCAGACCAAAGGCCCAUCUAGCCCAGUAUUCUGUCUUCCAACAGUGGCAAAUACCAGGUGCCCCAGAGGGAAUGAACAGAACAGGUAACCAUCAAGUGAUUCAUCCCUGUCACCCAUUCCCAGCCUCUGACAAACAGAGGCUAGGGACACCAUCCCUGCCCAUGCUUGCUAAUAGCCAUUGAUGGACUUGUCCUCCAUGAAUUUAUCUAGUUCUUUUUUGAACCCUGUUAUGGUCUUGGCCUUCACAACUUCCCUUGGCAAAGAGUUCCACAGAUUGACUGUGCGUUGUGUGAAGAAAUACUUCCUUUUGUUUGUUUUUUUUAAACCUUCUACUUAUUAAUUUCAUUUGGUGACCCCUAGUUCUUGUUUCAAAGUAGCAGCCGUGUUAGUCUG